rnacentral:sRNA from 1 species
CUGGUGUGAGAAAUUGGUCAGGAUUUCAAAACAGAUCUGUACUUCCAGAUUACAGCUAUUGGUGCUUUGCAGCAGGCAAGAGAGGCCUAUCUGCUUGGCCUUUUAAGAUACCAACCAACUUGUGUGCUGUCCAUGCCAAACGGGACUUUGUCACCUUUAAGGAUGUCGCCAUCUUAUUCUCCAGGGAGGAGUGGAGGCUCCUCAAUAAGUCUCAGAAGCAACUGUGUGAUGCUGGAGAACGUUACUUUGCACUUGUAACUUCAUUGGGAUUUGCUUCAAGAUGGUUCUGUGCAGAUUUCUGGCAAGGAGCCUGGGGAUAGCUCUGGAUGCUUUACAGUGAGGUGCAAUCACAGAGGACCUUGAUGAGUUGUCCAGUCAAAAAGGGAGACUUGUUUCCUGUUGCUCUGUACUACCUGCUGUGUGGCAUUUUCCACUACUCAUAUAUUUACACUUGAGAUUGCUGGCAAGAAAUGGAUUAUGGAAAGCUACCUUUUGAUCAGGUAUCUGUAGAAGGAUUGCCACUGGUCAGGACUCCAAAAGCAAGUCCAACUAAGUAACUGUCUAACCUGUGUACAUAUAUGUGCUAGUCUUAAAAGGUAUUUUGCAUCUGGUCAAUCAACUUAGGCAGAUCGGUACAUAGAAAACCUUCCCCAGGACUGGAAUCAUCCUAGCUCAGAAAACUCCUUGAAAAAAGACUAGGAUACAUCCUCACAGGGUGAGUAUUAUAGAAUCCGUGAGUCAUAAAAGCCCUUUCCCUCUGAAGAAAUCAGAGAGAAUCUCCCAGCUGCAUUAGACAAUAUUCGUCCAACGACUAUCCCCACUUGUAAGCAACCAAACCUAUUCACUGAAUGUGUAGAGCACUUUCAAACUAAAGCAAGGCAUUCUAAGCAGGGUGUAUUCAGAGAAGCUGCCAGCCAUAAACCCAUUCAGGAUCACCACCCAAAAACUAAUGAUGGAAAAAGACAUUCUGAAUCUACCAAAUGUGGGAAAGUCCACCAUUCCAAAGACUCUCCUACUCCACCUAUAAAGUCCACCAUAGAGAAAGGUCUUAAUAGUGCAGUGAAUACGGAAAGUCUUUUAGCCAAACUUCCCACCUAAAAAAUAUCUCAGAAUUCACACGGGUGAAAGGCCUUAUGGGUGUGGAGAAUGUGUGAAACCAUUUACCCAAAGAGAUACCCUCAUUGAACAUUACAGGGUUCACAUGGGAGAAAAACCCUGUGCGUGUGAUGAAUGUGGAAAAUCUUUUAGGCACAUUUCCAACCUUACUGAACACCUCAGAAUUCACACUGGAGAAAGGCCUCAUGAGUGUGAUGAAUGUGGGAAGUCCUUUGGGUGCAGUCAACUCUUGUUUGGCACCAGAGAAUUCAUACAGCUGAAAAGCAUUAUGAAUGUGAUGAAUGUGGGAAGUUCUUUACACAGAGCUUGAACAUAGGAUGAUUCACACUGGAGCCAGGCCUUAUGGGUGUCAUGAGAAUGGGAAAUUCUCUAGCAAAAGAGGCACUCCAAACAAACAUCAGAAACCUCACACUGCAGAAAAGCCUCAUGUGUGUGGGGAUUGUGGCAAAGCAUUUAUUUACAAAUCUAAGCUUGUUUGACACCAGAGAUCUCACACUGGGGAGAAGCCAUUUGAGUGCAAGUAAUGUGGGAUUUUUUUUUCUCACGAAACCAAUGGUCUUAUGCAACACCAGAAACUUCACACUGGAUUAAAGCCUUAUAAAUGUGGCCAGUGUGGUAAGCCUUUUGUCCAAAAGUUUCAACUCUUUCAACACCAGGUAGUCCACACUGGAGAAAGGCCAUAUCAUUGUGGCAGAUGUGGGAAAUCAUUUCCUCAGUAGCCCACUCUCUUUCUCCACCGAAAAAUUUCACACCAUGGAAAUGCCUUAUGCAAAUAACAUGCAUAAGAGCAUCAGUUCCAGGUUUAAAGGCUAGCUUGUGGAAGUUUAUACUGUGCUCAAGAAGAUGUAGCCCUGCAGGGAAUGUUCUGUUUCGUUGUUAUUGAUGUUGUUUUUCCAGUAUUAACUUUUAUAAUGGAACUACUUACCUGAAGGUGAACCUUAUGUUUAUAAACAUCCAUGGCUUUUGUAUUCCUUACCAGUUCAGGCAUGGGUACUGCUUACAAGAAUUGCUCCAUAUGUGCAGGUGUGAUUCCGGCCCUUAUUGGAAUUAAACUCAUGCCAUGUUCCCUGGUAAAGACCAUCUUCCUCCAUCAGCUUGUUUAUUGCUCUUUAGUCAUCUCAACAUGCUAAGGAAGGGCAAACAUUUGAAUGUUCCACGGAGGAAAUCCCGAGCAGAGCAGGGGUGGUUUCUUUUCUGACUAAUUGAAACCCAUCUGUCAUAGUUUUUAACUAGUAGGACCCAGUGUUCAAUUAGCUGGUGACUUCCAGCAAUGCCUUUUUCUUCCUCAUAGAAAUCAAUCUCACACUGACCUUGUGGUUAUUUUUUUCCAGCGUUCCAUUUACAACCUGGUGACUACCAACAUCUAGUCUACACACCAGCAAAUAUUUUACUGUUGAGUCUACCUGUAGUCAUUGGAAUUCUGGUUACAAUUCUCAGUGGGAGGAGACAAAUUUGGCCUCUGCAUAGAUCAAUAAUAGCUUUUGUGGGAAUCUCACUUUGUCUUGUAUGCACAGGAGAGCUGAAAGUAGUUUUCAUUAUUUCUUUUAUCUAGUUUGUUUUCCUACCUAAGGCCUAGGCACCAUGUGGGACUUUGUGGCCUUCAUAGCUCCAUUUUGGAGAAACCAGA